AAGAAAAGUGUCAGUAAGAUAGAAAAGAGCUCUCAGCAGGGCCAUUUGCAGAGGUAAAUACGUCCCCUGCUUUGUGACUAAAUAGAAGAGAAUGUUGCAGGCAUCGAUGCCUCCAGGCGGAAAGCAUUAUGACCGGAGGCACUGUGCCUAGCCUGGACGCUGGGGUCUACUCUGUGCAGGGACCUCAGAUGUAGUUUCCGGUCCAGUGAGCGCAGUUGACAAGAACACAUUCGCAAAUGGGUCGACAUCCCAGUGGAGACAAUGCCAAGGGGAGGAUCUCAUUCGUCACAGCAGAAGGAGUUUGUUCCAGAGCCAAAACUGUUGGGUUCCUCUUGUAGCAUCUUCUGGACCAAUGUCCAUUCUGGUUCACACCGGGGAGUGGAGGGGAAAAUUGUAAAACCAUCUCAGCUUAAAUGGUACGUUAAAUUCUUGUCUUUCUUCCUA
rnacentral:lncRNA from 1 species